rnacentral:RNase_P_RNA from 1 species
GGACAGGUGAUCGCGGCUGCAAGUGUCGAAAGACCGCAGGUGAGGAAAGUCCGGGCUUCACAGGGCAGGAUGCCGGUUAACGGCCGGUGGAGGAAACUCUAAGGAAAGUGCAACAGAAAGCAAACCGCUAUCUGUAGUACAUCUUUGAUGUACUACCUACGUAGUGGUAGCACAUGAAGGAUGUAUUACAGGUAGUAAGGGUGGAAGGGCAGUGUAAGAGACUACCGCUCCUCUGGUAACAGAGGAGGCAGUGUAAACCCCAUUCGAAGCAAGACCGAAACAAAGCGAUGACGUGGCCCGCCAGCUUUAGGUAGGUCGCUUGAGGCGAUUGGCGACAGUCGUCCUAGAUAGAUGAUCACUCAACGACAUAACCCGGCUUAUCGUCCUGCUUA